GAUGAACGCUAGCGGCGUGCCUAACACAUGCAAGUCGAACGUGAGAGGGUACUUGUAUCCUUGAAAGUGGCGGACGGGUGAGUAAGACGUAGGUGACCUGCCUUGAAGUGGGGGAUAACCAUUGGAAACGAUGGCUAAUACCGCAUAAGCUGGUGAUGAUGGGAAUCGUUAUCAGGAAAGCUUUAGUGCUUUGAGAGGGGCCGUACGGCCGAUUAGCUAGUUGGUGAGGUAAAGGCUCACCAAGGCGAUGAUCGGUAGCUGGUCUGAGAGGACGAUCAGCCACACGGGAACUGAGACACGGUCCCGACUCCUACGGGGGGCGAGCAGUGAGGAAUAUUCGGCAAUGGGGGCGAACCCUGACCGAGCAACGCCGCGUGGAGGAUGACGGUUUUCGGAUUGUAAACUCCUUUUCUCAGGGAAGAGCGAGGACGGUACCUGGGGAAUAAGUCACGGCUAACUACGUG
rnacentral:rRNA from 1 species